CGAGUUUCCAUAAUUUUUUUGAGUUCUGGGAACUAAUUAGAUUUUACAGUGUAUAAGCAUAAGUAUCCACACAGAACAGGCUUAAUUUUGACCUUAACAUGUGAACGAGGGCAAUACAAUUGAAGCAAAAGUAGAAAAUGAAAUGAGUAAGAACACACAUGCUGGAAAUUGAAACAAAUUCUGCCCAGCAACAUGACAUACCAGCGGUGGGAAGGGGGCGCUAUCUUUUCGCGCCACUGAGACAAAGGAGACAAAGAUGGAGGUUACUUCGCCUAUUAUGUUGUCAGACCUUACACACGCAUAUGACAACUUAGAAUCUGUCAAAGUCCUUGUAACCACUUUUAUAGAUGAGAAGUAAAUUUUUGAGCAUUAUUAUGAUCCAGUCUCCCAUUGUGGAUUCCUAAACUGCGCAACCUUAGACGGAAUCUCGACCAGGGGCAGAGACGUUAUAAGUAGCGAAAAGUGACAGAUGACUGUGGUGAAGACAAGAAGCUCAGGCAAGAGGAUGGGAAUACCAGCAGCACAGAUGAGUGGGUCACCCUGAUCAAAAGAUUGCGGCCCUCAGCUGAGAACCUUCCACCUAUCAUGUCAGGCAUGGAGGAAACAUAAACCAGUCGCAGAGCCUGGAUUAGCAAGGACUCCCCCACUGCCGCUGAAAUAUUCAGAGAGUACCCACGGUUUUUGGACAUGCCAAGUCUGGUGGACUUGGAGUUUGGCAAGCUUACAGGAGGAAAGACGGAUCUCUUUUUACGAAAAUGGGAAGCCAGUAUCAUUCCGAAGCUCAAAUCAGUAGCUGCCCUGGAAACAAGAACCCCCCCUCGCGCGCAUGUUAACACACCUGCUCCCAGCAGUUGGUGCCAGUCGUUGCAGCUUUAAAUCAGCUAUAACGCACUUGGUUGAUUUUGCACUGCCUGGAACAAGUAUUACAUCGUUUUGCAGUGAUCCUGAAGCAUCAUCCACAACACACCAACCCCAGCUGAUAUGCAUCGGUGAUCUAAAGAGUGC
ensembl:lncRNA